AUGCUAGAAGGGGCAGGGAAAAGCCAUCAGUGGGAUCUAAAGUGGGAUGUUGAAGGGGCAGAAGGGACUCAAGAAAGUCAAGAGAAUGGGCAGGAGAUGAUUUCAACAAAUGAGGGGCUUCCGCAAGCAGUUUCAGCUUUUUCAUUGUUAAGCGGUGGAAUGCAGAGGAGGCUAGAGGAGGCAACCAAGAUGGCAGGGGGCCAGCAGUUGAAGGUAGGGGAAGAGAAGGAGGAGGAACAAGAAGAAGAAGAACAAGGACAAGAACACAAAAAAGAAUAUGAACAAGAACAUGAACAAGAAUGUGAACACGAACAUAAACAUAAACACAAACAAGAACGUGAACAAGAACAUGAACCCAAACAAGAACGUGAACACGAAUGCGAACAAGAACGUGAACACGAACAAGAACAAGAACGUGAACACGAACAAGAACAAGAAAGUGAACAUGAACAAGAACAUGAACAAGAACGCGAACAUGAACAAGAAUGCGAACACGAACGUGAACAAGAAUGUGAACACGAACAAGAAAGUGAAUGUGAACAAGAAUGUGAACCUGAACGCGAACGUGAACGCGAACGUGAACGCGAACACAAACAAGAACAAGAACACGAACAGGAACAAGAAUGUGAACCCGAACAAGAAUGUGAACCCAAACAAGAACGUGAACACGAAUGCGAACGUGAACGCGAACAAGAACGUGAACGUGAACACAAACAAGAAUGUGAACAAGAACAAGAACAUGAACACAUACAAGAACACGAACAUGAACACGAACAAGAACAAGAAAGUGAACCUGAACACGAACAAGAAUGUGAACCCGAACAAGAAUGUGAACCCAAACAAGAACGUGAACACGAAUGUGAACGUGAACGCGAACAAGAACGUGAACGUGAACACAAACAAGAACGUGAACAAGAACAAGAACAUGAACACAUACAAGAACACAAACAUGAACACGAACACGAACAAGAACACGAACAAGAAAGUGAACCUGAACACGAACAAGAAAGUGAACCUGAACAAGAACCUGAACAAGAAUGUGAAUGCGAACAAGAACGUGAACACGAACACGAACAUGAACACAAACAAGUACACAAACAUGAACAAGAACACGAACAAGAACAAGAAAGAAAACAUGAACACAAACAUGAACAAGAACAUGAACAUGAACACGAACACGAACACGAACAUAAACACGAACAAGAACGUGAACAGGAACAAGAAGACCACCAGCAGGCAGUGUUAGAUGUGGUGGCGGCGGCAGCAGCAGAAGGAAUUCAGCCUGCAAUGCCAGACAAAGGAAAGACUGAAAGGGAACAGGAAGAGGCAUUAAAAGGGGCAAAGAAUAGCUAUCUGUGGGAGUCACUAGAAACUGUGACUUUGGAAGAGCAGAGUGAGGACUCAAAAGGUGUAGUGAUUAGGAAAGGCCUGCAAGAUGACCUGGAAGGGAAUCAGGAGGAACUAGAGGAAGUUGUGGGAAAUGGGGAAGAACAGGAGGAACAAACAGGAGAACUGGAUAGUGACCAGAAUGGAGAGUUAGAGAGAUUGGCAGAACAUAAUGAACUUGAUGAAGAAGAGCUGGUAGAAGCCAAAGCCACAGAGGUUCAACUGACAGAACCAGAAAAGAUUGAGAGGAACCUACAAGAGCCCAUGGUAUGCAGUGCCUCCUUCAAUACAGAACUCUCAGCUGGUCUUAGAGCCUUCCCAGAUGAGGUCACACCUCUAGACACAAGUGCCCAGAAGGAACGGGUGCUACUGCGUCGCAAGAGCUCCAUCCGACGAGCACCCAGUGUGAAGAAACCAAGGUCACCAGUGAAAACCCAGCCACAAGAGACAAAUAUGGAUGAGGAAAUUCCACCUGAGCCACAAAUACCAACCAAGCCAAAACUGAGGCAUUCUGGGUUUGGACCUAUGCACCCAAACAUGAUGGCUGAACUGCAGAUGCGCCUACGCAAGCCACAGUAACCUGAAAUUCAGAGGGACUGAAGGACAUCAAACUUGCAAGCUCUCUGCUGUAUCCUGAAUUAAGCCAAUGUGACUAAAAAUCAAAGGGAUGAAAACAACAAAAUACAAGUGACAGUAGUACUUGUAGAUGGGAUUGUAAAAAUGUACAAGUGUAACUCCAUUAAUAGGUCAACAAAAAUGUCACAAAUUAGUGUGCAAACUCAGGUAUACAGAAAUCUUAGUCCAGGCCCAGAAACAUACGCUGUCAGUGGCCCCUUACAUCAGUGAAGGCAGGAUGGUGAAGCCACCUUCAGUGAAACCACUUUCAUACAAAGGGUCUGGCUUUCCCACCAACAGGACCACCUUUGAGGAGACACAUUAAGGGGUCCCAUGAUCUCAAGGGCCUCAUAGUGAGGGAAUACUGAUAUAACAUUUUUCGAAUUCAUUCUCUCAAGGAGAGGUGGACCUGGGAUCAAAAUUUGUGAGGAAGGCUAUAAUUCUACUACUAGCAUACUUACAGAUACCUGUCUUUCCUGCUGCCUGGAGUUUUCUCACAAUGGCAGCCCAGGGAUAGUUGUCUCUGCUCACUCAGUUAUANCUANNUCCCUGUAUAAGCUUUUGCAGUCUCCAAAAGUUUUUGUCAGGCUAAAGGAAAGNAAAGGGAGAAAAAGAGUUGACAGGUCAUGAAACCAUUAAGUGUAUGUUUGUAAAUGCAAUGUGGACAGGAUUAUCAAACUUUUAAACUAGAUUCUGUUAGAAGCCUUGAAGUUUUAGCUUACACUUUAGGGCUGCUGGGAAAACAGAGCACACCAUAUUAUCUGAAAAUACAAUAGUUAGGCAUGACCCAGGUCAACCCUAGAUGAAAACAGUUUUUCCUUUCAGAACCAAGCAGUUGAUCAAAGCAAGAGAGCAAUUCAGAGGGACACAUACAAUAAAAAGGCUAAGUGUGCUUAAACA
ensembl:lncRNA